AAUGAAAUUAAACAACAUCCUUUCUCCCGUGGAAUCAACUGGCCUUUGAUUCGCACCAUGAGCCCGCCUCCACUAGAUGCACCUCCUGAGUUAAUUGAAAAAGAUUUGAAAGCCAAAGAUGUCAAGUGGGAAGAUGAUGGAGUGCUUGUUAAUCCUGUAGAUUUGGACCUUUUCUAAAGAAAUGGGAUAUAGACAAUCAAGGUGAGAUGGAAGAGGUUCUG